rnacentral:rRNA from 1 species
CCUACGGGUGGCAGCAGUGAGGAAUAUUGGUCAAUGGACGAGAGUCUGAACCAGCCAAGUAGCGUGAAGGAUGACUGCCCUCUGGGUUGUAAACUUCUUUUAUAGGGGAGUAAAAGAGGGUAUGCAUACCCUCUUGUAUGUACCAUAUAAAUAAGGAUCGGCUAACUCCGUGCCAGCAGCCGCGGUAAUACGGAGGAUCUGAGCGUUAUCCGGAUUUAUUGGGUUUAAAGGGAGCGUAGGUGGAUUGUUAAGUCAGUUGUGAAAGUUUGCGGCUCAACCGUAAAAUUGCGGUUGAAACUGGCAGUCUUGAGUGCAGUAGAGGUAGGCGGAAUUCGUGGUGUAGCGGUGAAAUGCGUAGAUAUCACGAAGAACUCCGAUUGCGAAGGCAGCUCACUGGACUGCAACUGACACUGAGGCACGAAAGUGUGGGGAUCAAACAGGAUUAGAUACCCGUGUAGUC